CAGCCAGCCAGGCGGCAGGCACCAAGCUCCUUUGUUCUUGGGCCUGAUAGCAGAGGCAGUAGGGCCUGCAGGUAACGGAGGGCCUGUCCCCACCGGAUGUUGGCACCAUGGUUCCCACGGGAAUGCUUCCUGAUCAAGAGGCCGACAGAGGGGAGAGCACUUGGAUGCUGGCUACAACAGCCCCAUAUAAAAAGGUGACCACCUGAAACAAGUGGGGAUGGGAGGGGAGCAGAUAGAAGGACAGGGCUCUGUUUCUCUGGGGCUAGGUGGGCAAAGGUCUUAAUCCUCUUACCUUGAGAAGUUUCCAAGGAACCAGACGACAGGCUCUGACCUUGGAAUUUGGAAUGAAGGAGAAACAUCCAGGCUGAGGUCAAGGUGACUUUCUCUCUCUAAACCUCUGAGUUUCAUCUUUUGCCCAUUUGCGUGGAGGAGGACUCUUGAUGCAGAAGCAAGAGGUUAGGCUUUGGCAUCAAAGGGACCUGAGUCCAAACUGGGCCCAGCCAUUCAAGAGCUGUGGGAAUCUAUAAUAAGAGGCUGAACUUUCUGAGACCAAGUAUCUCCAUGAAUGAAAGUGGGAUGAUAAACACACCUCCCUGGCAGGGCUGUUGUAAUGCUCUGGCCCUGGAGCCAGGAACACUGCAGGGGUCUAAUAAAUGAUCCCUAUGAUAAUUAAUACCCAGUCCCCAGAUCUACUCUGCCAGCACUGUCAGUUUGGGGACAACUAGAGGAAUGUGUAUGAAUUGAAUUAGAGCUUGAUGGUCCUGUGGCUGUGACCAACUCCAGACUCUUUUAAAAACAGAAGUAUCUGCCCUAGUUCAAGGGUUGGGAUGGUUGCAAAAAGGACAAAAGUGGAGGAAGAGAAUUUGGGGGGUCUGGGGAUAUAGCUCAGUUGGCAGAGUGCUUGCCUCACAUGCAUAAGGCCCUGGGUCCAAUUCCCAGCGCCGAGAGAGAGAGAGAGAGAGAGAGAGAGAGAGAGAGAGAGAGAAUGUGUGUGUGUGUGUGUGUUUGGGAUCAGAAAGAGAUAGUGGGAUUGGUUUGAUGAGUGCUUUGGGGGCUUCUGUCGAGGACCAGGUGGAGGCAAAGAGAUCAGAGAAGAAGUCCAGGUAAGAGGUGAUGUUGACAUGGCUGGGGUUGUAACAAUGGUCUGAGCAAUAGGGUGGGUGUAGCCUCAUGUAUGGAGAAGGGAAGGGAAAAAUUUAGUUAGGGGCAGAGGAAUGGGGGUGACAAGGUGAAGCAGAUGGAGAUGGAGGGUUUUGUUCUGGACUAGCUAAAUUUGGGAAGUCUAUCAAACACUCACAUAGGCAUACUCCCACUUCCUCCACUGACCCCCCUCCCCAGCUCUCCUAAUCUGCCUCAGCUCUGCUCUGUCUGACCCUUUAUGGUCCCACCUCAGAGUUCUGCACUGCCAAUUUCCUCUCCCAGCCCUUCCUAAGGAUGCUUCCUUCUUGGUACUUAGGUAUCAGCUUAAAUGUCAUCUCCCUGACCACCUUGAUCAUCUCCCUCUUCCCCACACCAACACUGUCUCUCCUAUUGUACUAGAAGUACUAUCCUUAUACUACUUAGCACUAGCUGAGAUUAUGUUGUUUAGCUAUUUGUUUACAUGUAUAUUAUUUAUCUCGCCUUCUAGAAUGCAAGCUUUCUGAGGGUAGGGGCUUUUCUUAUUUACCAUUGAACCCCCAACAUAAGGACCAGUGCCUUGCAUGAAGUAAGAUCUCAAUAAAGACUUACUAAAUGAAUCAAUAGCUGGCAAAUAUAUGGUAUGUGCAGCUACUUCAUAUUCCCAAACCUGUGACAGACAUUGCUAAUCAAUCAUGGACUCUUUCCUCUAAGUGACACUCCACAAAGCCCUUGUCAAUCUAUUAGAGUUGGCAUAUGAAGGUAAAUUCUCUCAUCAUCUUCAUAGUGGAGUGAAUAAUGCUCUCCUGCUUGUUACUUGUGUGGCCUUAUGUGAGUUUUUUUUAAAGCUCUUUGGACCUCAGAUUACUCAUCUGAUGUCUCACACAAGAUGUAGAAGUGAUCUUUUCACCCCUCUAUUAUGUCUGGGUCCCCAGUCUAGGACCCUGAUGCCACUGUGCAGAUGUGAACAAUCUCCCAUUCAGGAGGCUCAGCUCCCAUCUUUCUUUUGAGUCACAACCACUCCCAAACUGUUCCUUCCUUUUUUUCCUGUUUUAUUCCCAGUCCCAGAAGGAAAGGCUAGAACUGACACUUGAUAUCUGGUACAAAAUAUCUCCUCAUUUUGAGAUGAAGAAACUGACCUCAAAGAAAGAAAGUCAAUGAAGCCAGAAACCCAAUAUAGACCCAUUGUCCACACCCAAUGCUAACUCAGCGGCAGCCAUCCCUCUCCCCAGCACUGUAGGGCACGAUUAUGGGGAGACCGGCUGCAGCUUCCCUAUACCUAGGCAUAUUCCCAAACCCCAGGAGGCAAGCAGCUUGGCUUCUGUUCAGGCCCUGGUCAUUUGAUGGGAGAAGGAUGCUGUGGAUUCCUGCCUCUUUCUCCCACUUCAAGCCAUCCAUGCAAAGGAGGUGAGAAAGGUAUGGGCCUCUUCCUCCACAGUUGCUUUCAGAAAUUGUCCUGGGUCAUUUAGGCCAGAGUGAGACUCUUAGCUGUUCCAAAGCCAAUUAAUGCCCUGUUGGCAGCUUCUUGCCUUUUUUUCCUUUCGAUUAAACGUGGAUCAUCCCCUCCACCCUCUUGAAGCUAUUCUGCAGCUGGCACCCUCUCUGACAAGAGCUCAGUUUGGGCUUCCCUUGAGGAAGGGUAGGGGAGGAAAUGGAUGGGUAUUGACUAAACCCCUCUGUGAUCUUAGAUGGAGGUGCUUUAAACAGAUCCCAGAGAGGAAAACGCUUCAGUUGCCUUUGAGCCUGCCUGGGCAGCGCUCUUGUUUGCAGACUGUCUCUUCUUGUAGAGGAGCCCAACGCCUUUUUCUAGUAGCUAUUUGAGGAAACACUAAUGUUUGCAGGAACAGAGAGCCAGGGCCCUGCUCAGGAGGACAGGGAAGACCCGGAGGGAUCCAAAAGUGCUAAUUAAGGACCAAUACCCAUAGCCAUUUGGGGAAAGUUAAGAAACAGAAAAGAAUUGAGCUUUCAUGUUUAAUUAGGAAGGAGGGAAUAAAAGGGACCAGGGGAAAUUUUUAGAAGGACAGAUUUAACUUGACAUUUAACAUUUCAACCCAUUUAUUGAACAGUUAUCAUAUGUCGGGUAUAACUAAGCAGAAGUAUACCUGUGAGCCAGUAGACAAGGCCUUUAUCCUCAGGGAGAUCACAGUCACAGGAGAGUAUUAAACAUUACAGGACAAGCACAGGGUGCCACAGGAGCACAGGCACAGACAGGGCACCCUACCCAACUGUCAAAGACAGCCCCAGGAGAAGGACCAUGGGAAGCUUCCCCGGGACGUUGGCACUAUAGUGAGACCAGGCUGAGGCCUGGAGAAUCAGAGGAGUUGGCCAGGAAAGAAUAACAGAGAGGAGAGGAGAGAAGCAGGGGUCUCUCUCCUAGAAACACUGGAAUCACCUAGGGAGGUUUUAAAAGGAAGGAUAUCACCUCCAGAGAUUCUGGCCGGGGGCAGGGGCUGGCACACUGGUACAUUUUGAAAGUUUCCAAGUGGUUCUGGUGUGGAGGGAAGGGAAUGGAAGAAAGGAGAACUACUAGAUUAUAAAAUAUGUAUUAGGGGUAGCGGGGGUAGGGGGUGGGAGGCAGUUCAGGAGGAGCUGGUAGAGUCAGCAGUAGAAUGCUGAUGGUGGUCAUCUUGUGGAGGGCUUUAUCUUGUGUGGUAAGGAGACCUAGAGUUCAGCCUGAGGGACACUAGAAGUCCCUGAUGAGUUGUCACUCAGUCUCAUGGACUUACAAAACAAUGCCUUGUAGGAAAAUCUUAGUCAAUACUUCCUCUCCCUCUCUGCCCUCGCUACUGCUGUAGAAGGAGUCCUAAAGAGGUUCAUUUGGGACCACCAAGGUCAAUGCGACCUUCAAGGGCUCCUGGCCCAGUUUCUCACUUUUCCCUGCAGAGUUCCAGGCCUUUGCCAGGCUCCACCCCAUGCCUCUGGGUAGUACAGACCCUGUGGACCUACCUCAGGCAGGGAGCCGUCAUCCAUAGUGACAGACCCUGGUCCCCUUUUCCCCUUUUGUCCCCAGUUGCCAACACCUACCCAGAUUCUUAUCUGGUUACUUUCAUCCUGGGCUUCUUUUCCAGCACAGCCAGAAAUGGCAUGGGAUCUGCCCCACCUGCCAGCGUGCUCAGUACACAUGAAGCCAUUUCUUCUCCCUGUUUUCUGAAACUACCACUCUGGGGCCAGACCAAACAGCUUUUUCCUUCUCAGCAUGCAUCUUGCUGGGGCUGUCUGGUUCCUGUGGCUCCUCACUGAAUGAGCCCCACAUUUUAGCCACUAGGAGGAAGGAGAAUGGUGGUAUGGGAGAGGAGAGAAGCUUCAGAGAUGGAUGGGUGGGAAACCUAAGAGAGUGCCUAGCACAUUGUAGGUCUUCAGUUGGUAGCAACAUUUACUAUUAUUGAUUAAUAUUGAUUCUUAUUACUUGUGCCAAGCACCAAAUUACAGUAUUUCUUUGGGCUUUAGUGUUCCCUUUUGUAAAAUCUGGAGACGAUGUGCCAUGUAGCUUAUAGGGGCACCAUGAAGACCAGCAUGCAGGCAUUUGGAGAGAUGUUUUAUUGGAUCUAGAAACUACUAAUGGCUCAAGACAAUGCUGAAUACCUAACAGACCAUCAGACCUUCUGACUUCUGCCUGUGCAGGUGACAAAGGCCAACACCACUGUUUGGCUUGCAGAUUGUCAGAACAGUCUUUCAGAAUGCAUCAGGAUAAAGUCUAGGAGCUGUUGAGAGGCAGCCCAUCCUCUGCAUGCAGCAUGGGAACUAUAUACACAGGAGCAAAGCCCUGGAUUUGCACCGAAUUUGAACUAAGAAAAGAUCCUUCCAGGGACAAAUCCUCCUUGAUGGGCAUGGCUGUAGGGUAGAAGCCAGCUCUGGUUUGUGCCUUUUCCCCUCCUUGUUUCCUUAAUUUUCUGAGCAGGAGUUAUAUGGGGUGAAGGGCCUAUUAGAUGGGAUUUGAGCAGAAGGUCCAGGAAUGACCAAAUCUUGGUUUCUAGUCAUCCCUUUUUCCCAUAAAGUUCCCAAAGCUAUGAAGGUAAAAAUAAGCAAGAAACAAAAGUGCCAGUUAUUAUGUGCUUGGGUGAAUCAGGGAUCCCCAGGGCAGGAUGCUGCUGGAGCUGAGUGGGCACCUACUUCAGCCUCCCAGACCCAGGCCUCACCAGGGCUGUGGGCUCAAGUUAGGACCCCUGCCAAGUGCCCUGGAACUCUGACAAGGCAGGAGAGAGAAGAUGCCAGUCAGUAAGAAAGCCCAGGUUGUCUUCUAACUUGGUGGCACUGAUGAAGGAAGCAAAAGAAGAGCUCUAGUGAUGUGGGUGAGUUUUAAUACACUGUGCCUCUGUCCCUGUGUGUGUCUUGGAAAUUGACCAAGUAAAUUGGCAUCCCUAGAAAAGGUGGGGCAAAGGCAGGGGCUGGGAUGGGGAGGUUCUCUACCUCCUACAGGGACACAAUAAGCAAGGUAGGCAUGGUUUCCACCUUCCUGGAGCUUCCGAUCUAGCAGGAAAAAUCAUUACUGGCAGGAUCAAGAUAUUAGAAUGUAAUAAGUGCUGUGCAGAAAAACCAUGGGAUGUUACCAAGGUGCCCGUGGGGGGCUAUGCUGAGGAAGUGUUCUGGACACUGAAAUAACAGGAAAGACUUCUACAGGCAAGGCGAGAUGGGGAGAAUGGACCAGGCAGGAAGAAAAGACAGAGUCACACUGAUGCACAGUUUUGAUGCAUGAUCCCUAAUGUCUUCUCAAAAAAAUUGCUAAGGCCAGAAAGUGUUCUGAUCUCACCUGUCCCUAAAUGCUGGGAUCCCCAGGUUUGGUCCACAGGCCCACUUUGCAAGUCUUACACUACAUAGUGCCCGGGGAGGAUACCAGCAGCACCCAGGGCUUCUUCCUGUGCUCCAGAUGUUGUAUAUACACAGAUUCCUGGGCCUCUCCACCUGGAUAUCCUUCAGGCACCUCAUUGUCCAAAUUACACACAUCUACACCCCACCCGAAUGCCACUCCCUCCUCCUGAAUUCUACAUCGCAGCAAACAACACUUCCAGCCACCAGUGCCCCAAACAGAUGCAUAUGGAGACUCACUUCUUCCUUCAUGCGUCCUAUUAGCCCUCAACCGUGGUAGAGUUUCAGCUCCAUAACAUUUCUUUUCCUGCUCCCUUGACAUCUAGUCAUCCAUAUCCUUGUAAGAGAUUAGCCACUGCCUUGGUACAGGUCAGUCCUUCCUCUCUUUCUUUUUAGACUGUAGUUCUCUUCUAACUGCUCCUCAAACUCUUAGCCACUGUGUUAUUCUGUUAAGUGACUAUUUGUAAUCCAAUGAGGUGUCCCUAUCAGCCAGCUACCCCAGGUUAGGUAGGCGGCAAAUAUGGUGAUUAAGAAUGUGGUCUCUACAAUCACACAGGUCAGGCCUACAUUCUGUCACUAUCAGUAUGACCUUGAGCAAGUCAUGCAACCUUUCUAAGCCUGGGUUUCCUUGCCUAGAAAAUGGAGAUAAUAAGAGCUCCAAGUGCUAUUAGCUAAUAGGUAGCAUGGGCUGCUAUUGUUUUCUGCCCCCAAUAGACUUCCCUCCUCUCACCCUUUCUCUGGGUGACCUGCCCCUCCUCAACUCCACAUGGUGGGGUUGCCAGUCAUAAUCUGACCCCCAAUCCCCGGGCUGCGGGGAAGGCUGAUGGGCGCAGGUCCCGAGCUAGGCCGGUCAGAACCUUUUGUUUCAUUUGAAUAUGGGAACAACCAGUCAUUGUACUUCACCCCACAGCUACAGGGGCCAUCAAGGGUCCAUGUUGCUGUCUUCAUUUCCAGAGUUGAACUGCUGUCAGCUGGGGGUUGGUCAGCUUUCCCAAACAUGAAGGAAGUCCAUCUACAGUAACAGAAAAUGAAACAGAGAAGUAAUGCCAAAGGCAAAAGCACUGAUGGUGCCCCUGGACUUCCUCUACCCAGUCGGCUUCUGGGACUGAUCCCCUCUAGCAGAAGGGUUGAUUCAUUUCUUCAUUUAACAAACUUUUUUUUUUCUUUUUUUAGUUGUAGUUGGACACAAUGCCUUUAUUUUACUCAUUUUAUUUUUAUAUGGUGCUGAGGAUCAAACCCAGGGCCUUGCAUGUGCUAAGCAAGUGCUCUACCGCUAAGCCACAACCCCAGCCCCCUUUACAAACUUUUAUUGAGCUCCUAGAAUGUAAAGAAGGAAUAUGGAAAAUAGUAAGGUUGCUGUCCCUGAGAGAAUAAUUGUGCUCUGACAUGUGUGUGUAUGUGUGUGUGUGUUUCUCUUUCUCUUUCUCUCUCUCUAAGUGGAUAAUGCAGGAGACACAAAAGGAAGAGGUACCACAAUCAUCCCAGACAACAUCAGGAAGAGGGCAGCUCACCAAAGACUUCCUGGAGGUGGUAACUCCCAGAGGAGUCUUGAAACUCCCCUGUCAGGAGUAAUCCUCAAUGGAUCUGCCCUUCAAAGUAAAAGCCUCAGUUUCCAAGUUUGCUUAGCUGGAAAUAUUUUGCGGAUUUAUUCCUAAAGGAUAAGCCUUUGUCACAUAAUAAGCCUGAAGGCCUUCUACCACUGAAUGCCUUCACUCAGGGAUGGCACCAUACUGGAAGGGAACCUCUAAAUGCGGAUGCCUGAGUCGUCUCCCUCACAGGUCUCCCGUUGUGUCCUGUCAUUUCCUCCGGAAGUUUUGAUGUUGGAAGGUUGCCCUGACCUACCUCUUCAGGUUGAUCAAAUGGUCCAAUUGUCUACGAAGAAGCCCAGACUGCCCCGAAGGAAUGGAUGGGAAAGGGGGGACUGUCUAGAAAGGAACGUGCCAGAGGGAGUCCAGCCACCACACCAGGUUGGCUGGAGCCAGUAUCCCACAAAGGAUCCCUUUGUUGUUGGAGGAGGUGUCACAAGAGGUUGGCCACAACUCAUGAAGCGCAUCCAGGAACAGUUCUCCUGAAAGCACUGGCAGGGAGCUCUGUCUGGUGGCCUGGAACGGAUUCUGAGCUAGAGGAGGUUGGGAGGGGGGAGCACACCCUCUCCCUGCUGUCUGGCACCACCUGUUCUUGAAGCUGGCUGUCCCAGGUGUAGUGACCAAGAAGCAUGGCAGGGACUCCACAGUGACGGAGCCAGCUGCUCUCAGGGAAAGGGCUUCUGGGCUGUGGUCCACUCUUUCCCUGAAAGGUCCUGAGAGCUGCCACUUCCAUCUUGAACCCUACCCCUCUUCUCCUGGAUGGUCAUAUAUAUAACCUUUCAAACCUGUGUUGCUUCAAAGAGUUGAAGGAGGUGAUAACACACUGGGUCAACUGGCACCAACUGUGACCACCCCAAGCAGACCUAGGAGUUUGGGCUCCCUACUUAUUUCCUCAAAAGGUCAAGACAACAGGAUGAUGCCUUGAAGCAGAUUGGUGGUGGGGAUGGCCAACAAGCCUUUCCAAAUUCCUCUCGUGCUUCCUGUCUUCCAUUCCCUGUUUCAUAGCAAGAUGCUCUGAAUUAAUAAUGGCACAGCUUGCCUUCGCGACCCCCAUCCAGACUUUGCUGAGGACUUAAUUGCCCAGAACACAGUCUAAAUAUGGCGCCCUGUGCAACUAUUCUUCCCUUUGUUGUUGUUAUUGUUGGUAGUCUUCCAUUUUUU
rnacentral:lncRNA from 1 species